rnacentral:pre_miRNA from 1 species
CAUUGAUGAUGAUGAUGAUGAUGAUGAUGAUGACGGUGGUGAUGGUUGUGGUGGUGGUGAUGGUGGUUGUGGUGGUGAUAAUGAUGAUAUCUUCAUUACCAUCUUCAUCAUCAUCAUCAUCCUUUAAU